CACAAAGAUGUCUGCCUCAUCUAAUACGACCGGUUCUAAAUUCCUUGAAGGCAGGUCUGGAAGUGUCUACCAGCUACUGCCCUGAUGACGAUCAAAAUUUCAUGACUAGGAAGUUGCAAUACUUAAGAAUUUUCCAGACUUCAGCAUAGGUCGAGUUCUAGUGCACUGAUUUUGACAAUCAUCCAUGGAUGAAAGUAUCUUUGCAGGAGGCUGGUAGUUCAGUGGAGAAGUUCCAGUACACCGUUGGAGAAAAAAAUGAAAAUGGAUGCAUUGAAGAGAACUCCAUCAGGAGCCAACUCAUGAACCAGUUGGGACAGCUCCUCCCUGUGGUCAGCUCCCUGCAUGUGCCCCCCAAAGAAUGUGAAGGAGAGAGCAAAACUUUGUUAGACAAAGAGAACCCGAUGGAGUUUACCACCACUAGAUCUGCCUUAUAAGAAAUGCAAAAAGGAGGUCUUCAAGCUGAAAAUUAAGGAUGUUAAUUAGUAAUACGAAAAUGUACAAAAGUAUAAAACUCAUUGCUAAAGCUCCUUUAUAGAUGUACUGCAUUCCAUCAAUAGAAGAACUGGCUACUGAGGAAAUUCAAAAUACACACGUAUAAGUGGAAAAUUAUAGUGUGACAAGUGAAGAAUUGGAAUGGAUUCACCCUAAAGCAGAGCAAAAUACCAGCCACUGUCAUGGCCCCCAAGGAGGACUGAGUCUGGUGAUGCACAAAUUCCAGAAUACAGGUGUGGAACGACAAUGGCACAUGUCGCAGAGACCUUGCAGCCAGAGGGACGGAAACGCCAACCAAUGCCUCUUUCUCUUUGCAGCCAUUUAAAUUCCAAUCCUGAUCAAUAAAUGAUCUAGGGAUCAAUAGGGAUGGAGAGACUACAUCUCCCCCACUCCCCCACAGU